GGCUACCUGGCGCAAUGGUAGCGCGUUUGGCUUCGAUCGCUCAACGUCACCAAAAGGUUGCAGGUUCGAGUCCUGCGGUGGUCA
rnacentral:tRNA from 2 species